UGCUGUUAUUGAAGAUCUGCCUUAG
rnacentral:misc_RNA from 1 species